rnacentral:rRNA from 1 species
AGCAGCCGCGGUAAUUCCAGCUCCAAUAGCGUAUAUUAAAGUUGUUGCAGUUAAAAAGCUCGUAGUUGAAUUUCGGGAUCAAUACGUCGGUCGUGCUUCGGUACGUACUGGCGUCAUUGAUUUCUCCCUUCUGACGAACCACGAUGUCAUUAACUUGGUGUCAUGGGAAAUCAGGACUGUUACUUUGAAAAAUUAGAGUGUUUAAAGCAGGCUCACGCUUGAAUACAUUAGCAUGGAAUAAUGAAAUAGGACGUUCGAUCCUAUUUUGUUGGUUUUAGGAUCAACGUAAUGAUUAAUAGGGAUAGUUGGGGGCAUUAGUAUUCAAUUGUCAGAGGUGAAAUUCUUGGAUUUAUUGAAGACUAAACUAC